rnacentral:rRNA from 1 species
CAGCACCUCAGGUGGUCAGGAUGAUUAUUGGGCCUAAAGCAUCCGUAGCCGGCGCUGUAAGUUUUCGGUUAAAUCUGUACGCUCAACGUACAGGCUGCCGGGAAUACUGCAGCGCUAGGGAGUGGGAGAGGUAGACGGUACUCGGUAGGAAGGGGUAAAAUCCUUUGAUCUAUUGAUGACCACCUGUGGCGAAGGCGGUCUACCAGAACACGUCCGACGGUGAGGGAUGAAAGCUGGGGGAGCAAACCGGAUUAGAUACCCGAGUAGUCC